rnacentral:rRNA from 1 species
AGAGUUUGAUCCUGGCUCAGGACUAACGUUGGUAGUAUGCCUAACACAUGCAAGUCGAGCGGAAAGUAGUAGCAAUAUUACUUUUAGCGGCGAACGGGUGAGUAAUGCUUAUCUUACUUGCCAAUUAGUGGGGGAUAAUCAUGGGAAACUAUGAGUAAUACCGCAUUUGUUACUUCAGUAAUGAAAGGGGUUCGCAAGAA